GAACGUCAAUCGUCAAACAAGCCCGAGAAAUAAAAAACACAAAUAUUGAAAGAGCAAGCAAAAAAAGAUACAGUGAAUACGUGUGCAAUUAAUUAAAACGUUUUACUUUAUUUUUAUUUUGGUUAAAAUUUUGCUGAAAUAUCGCGUAUGAAUUGCCAUAAACGGGAGACUGGUUCAGUGCGUGUAUUUUUCGCUACAACAGACUGUGCGAGCCCAUAUAUAGAGAAAAAAAAUUGUUCAACGGUUGCGAUUGUGUAUGUGCACGAGAGAGAAGAGAGAAAAAAAAUGAACGAAUUAAUCCCACGAAGAAAUAGAGCCAAUGUAUGAGCAGCGUGAAAGCAGUUUCUUAAAAAUUAAUUGAGUGGAAAACUUGAAAUAAUCAACAAAAAUAAAUCGAUUUAAUAAUUUGAGAAAUAACAAAUUACGACAAAACUACUAAGCACUGAACCAUCGAGCCAUUCAACCGACCACUACUCCAUGAUCAUAGCUCCAACGCAACUCGAUUGAUCAGUUUCCCGAAACCAAUUCAACUAAUACACGUUUAUAUUGGAAAUAUUUUUGAAUUUCACAGCUGGACUAUAUCAGAGAAUCAUCACAAAAUGGGAAGCGAUUCACAGGAUAUUCAACAGCAUAUUGGGUGUGGCAACGACAUUAAUUUACCACAAUUUACAUUGAAUAUAAAUACAACGACCGGUGGCAGUUUUUCUGUGAGCGUCGAUAGCCACACAUCGGUUGAAAAUCUAAAGAAAAUCGUGGCAAAAAAA